rnacentral:rRNA from 1 species
GAUGAACGCUGGCGGCGUGCCUAAUACAUGCAAGUCGAGCGAAUGGAUUAAGAGCUUGCUCUUAUGAAGUUAGCGGCGGACGGGUGAGUAACACGUGGGUAACCUGCCCAUAAGACUGGGAUAACUCCGGGAAACCUGGGCUAAUACCGGAUAACAUUUUGAACCGCAUGGUUCGAAAAUGAAAGGUGGCUUCGGCUGUCACUUAUGGAUGGACCCGCGUGGCAUUAGCUAGUUGGUGAGGUAACGGCUCACCACGGCAACGGUGCGUAGCCGAGCUGAGAGGGUGAUCGGCCACACUGGGACUAAGAAACGGCCCAGACUCCUACGGGAGGCAGCAGUAGGGAAUCUUCCGCGAUGGACGAAAGUCUGACGGAGCAACGCCGCGUGAGUGAUGAAGGCUUUCGGGUCGUAAAACUCUGUUGUUAGGGAAGAACAAGUGCUAGUUGAAUAAGCUGGCACCUUGACGGUACCUAACCAGAAAGCCACGGCUAACUACGUGCCAGCCGCCGCGGUAA